rnacentral:rRNA from 1 species
CCUAUAAGUCUGGGAUAACUUCGGGAAACCGGAGCUAAUACCGGAUAACAUUUAGAACCGCAUGGUUCUAAAGUGAAAGAUGGUUUUGCUAUCACUUAUAGAUGGACCCGCGCCGUAUUAGCUAGUUGGUAAGGUAACGGCUUACCAAGGCAACGAUACGUAGCCGACCUGAGAGGGUGAUCGGCCACACUGGAACUGAGACACGGUCCAGACUCCUACGGGAGGCAGCAGUAGGGAAUCUUCCGCAAUGGGCGAAAGCCUGACGGAGCAACGCCGCGUGAGUGAUGAAGGGUUUCGGCUCGUAAAACUCUGUUAUUAGGGAAGAACAAAUGUGUAAGUAACUGUGCACAUCUUGACGGUACCUAAUCAGAAAGCCACGGCUAACUACGUGCCAGCAGCCGCGGUAAUACGUAGGUGGCAAGCGUUAUCCGGAAUUAUUGGGCGUAAAGCGCGCGUAGGCGGUUUCUUAAGUCUGAUGUGAAAGCCCACGGCUCAACCGUGGAGGGUCAUUGGAAACUGGGAAACUUGAGUGCAGAAGAGGAAAGUGGAAUUCCAUGUGUAGCGGUGAAAUGCGCAGAGAUAUGGAGGAACACCAGUGGCGAAGGCGACUUUCUGGUCUGUAACUGACGCUGAUGUGCGAAAGCGUGGGGAUCAAACAGGAUUAGAUACCCUGGUAGUCCACGCCGUAAACGAUGAGUGCUAAGUGUUAGGGGGUUUCCGCCCCUUAGUGCUGCAGCUAACGCAUUAAGUACUCCGCCUGGGGAGUACGACCGCAAGGUUGAAACUCAAA